rnacentral:tRNA from 1 species
GUCCAGUGUAGCCUAGUUGUCAUGGCAUCUGCCCGGUAAGCGGAAGGUCGUGGGUUCGAUUCCCAUCCCUUGACA